AGCCGCUGAAGCUGUUACUAGGGGCAACCUGGCAAGCCAUAGUGCAUUAAAUUAAAUUAAACAGGCUUGUGACUGCCCCCUCCCCUCCUGGAGAAGGGAGGGGGUAUUCCCCCUCUAUCCUGGAGAAUAAAGUUGCUGUGAAACCUCUUAUGGCUGCAAGGAAUUCAGUUACAGAGUUUAUGACUCCCAGAGGCAAGAUGUUUGGAGGCAGCCUGGGAGGAGGCUCACAGGACUUCUGCCAGAAGAGGAGUAUUUACAGUGAACCUGCCUGGGAUCAGGAAACAGAGACUACAGAAAAAGCCACCGGCCCAGCCCCAUAGCCCAGGGCAGAAGUGCCAGGAUUCAAGUUCAGAUCUGCCUCCCUCCAAUGCCCCUGUUGUUUCCACCUCAUCAUGCUGACUCUGUGAAGGCUGACACUGCAGAAAUAAAAGUCACAAGGUGGCA
rnacentral:lncRNA from 10 species